AGAGAGAGAGAGAUAUAUUUCUGUGUUUUCCCAACUAUCAUUUUUAAAGAAAUGCACAGUGGAGGAAUUUCAGAGCCAUCUCAUUGUCAAAAAGAAGGAUGAUAUUAAUAUGAUAUCUUAAAGGGUAUAAAGGGCAGAUUAGAACCUUGGGUUACUUUGAUAUAAGUAAUCGGAGCAAUCUCCAUCGAGACACUCUUCAGCAAGAAUUUUUUCGACAUAGAAUUAUCCUUAGACAUUAAACUCAUUUAGUAUUUUUGUAAAAAUAUUUUCUCCAUAUCAAGAAUAAAUGUGUUCCUAAUGUCUCCUAAAAAAUUACAUCAAUUUUACGUGUUUUCUCUAACUUUUUAGUUUGUCCUUCCUGGUUGCUUGCUGUAAAAACCAUCAUGCUCCGAAGAAAUUCAUUUAAUAGCUACAUUAUUGUCCCAUAAUUCCUUCUCAUUGUCCUGACAACUUUCCUAUCUUUUAGAUACUAGUCAGUGCAUUGUAAAUGUCAACUACAGGCUUCAAAAAAAUGAAUCCCUAUACAUGAAUUCCC
rnacentral:lncRNA from 1 species